AACGCAAAUUGCGCCGGAGGGCUCUCCUUCCGGCAUGUUUGUUUCAGUGUGUUGGUUGCUAUCAAGAAAAUAAAUGCGAUUGAGUUUCUUUCGCUAAAGAUGAAUUUGUAAACAAUGGUCAUCUCGUAUGAUUUGGUUAUGAGUAAUCAUAAAUUCUUCGAUCGGCACCUGAAAUCAAGCAAGAUCACCCGCUGAACUUAA
rnacentral:misc_RNA from 1 species